rnacentral:rRNA from 1 species
GCCCAAGAGAUCGGGAUAACACCUGGAAACAGAUGCUAAUACCGGAUAACAACAGAUGAUGCCUAUCAACUGUUUAAAAGAUGGUUCUGCUAUCACUCUUGGAUGGACCUGCGGUGCAUUAGCUAGUUGGUAGGGUAACGGCCUACCAAGGCGAUGAUGCAUAGCCGAGUUGAGAGACUGAUCGGCCUACAUUUGGGGACUGAGACACGGCCCAAACUCCUACGGGGAGGCAGCAGGC